CUCUAGUUGUGGCAUGUGGGACGCUGCCUCAGCGUGGUCUGAUGAGCAGUGCCAUGUCCGCGCCCAGGAUUCGAACCGACGAAACACUGGGCCGCCUGCAGCAGAGUGCGCGAACUUAACCGCUCGGCCACGGGGCCAGCCCCAGGAAUGUUGGAUUUCUUGACUGGAGAGGUGGUUACAAGGAGUGGCUGUGUCAUGUGGUAACUCUAUGUUUAACCUUUGGAGAAUCUGCCAGACCGUUUUCUAAAGAGGGUGCCUUCACAUUCCCAUCAGCAAGUACAUAGCUGUGUAUUUCAGUUGUGGAUCCUUCUAGUUGUGGCAUGUGGGAUGCUGCCUCAGCAUGGCCUGAUGAGCGGUGCCAUGUCUACGCCCAGGAUCCAAACUGGCGAAACCCUGGGCCACUGAAGUGGAGCAUGCAAACUUAACCACUUGGCCAUGGAGCCAGCCCCUUCCUUUUUAUUAUUAAGCCAACAAUAUUUUAUAGUUUUCAAUCUACCAUGUUGUACUUGUUUUGUUAAUUUUUU
rnacentral:lncRNA from 1 species